ensembl:lncRNA
GGUCAGUCAGAAAGUUAUCAAAUGUUUCAUGCGGUUGCUGCACACGAGAACGAAACAUAUCUUUCAUAAGUUUCGUUCUUUUUGGGCGAAUAAUGAGCAGUAAAUUUGGUCAGCACAUCAUCAAGUUUGUUUCUAAUUUUGUUCUCAUUAAAGAUGAAAGCAUUAUUCACUUCAAUGUGUACCAGCAAUCGUCAGUAGCAAAGCAACCUUACGUGCUUCUGACUUUGUGUCCGUCCCAAUAGCAGCCGUGUAUACAUGUAGCUCAAAUUGCUGCUUGAAACUGCACCAGUUGCUGUCAACAUUUCCCGUGAGCUUCAAGGUCUACGGUGGUAUUACACUCUCAGAAAAAAAGGUACAAAGCUGUCACUGGGACAGUACCUUUUCAAAAGGUACACUUUUGUACCUUUUGGGUACUAAUAUGUACACUUAAGGUACUAAUAUGUUCCUUUAAGUUACCAUUAUGGACUGUUUAGGUACAAAGGUGUGCCUUUCAAAAAGGUACUUUUUUUCUGAGAGUGCAGAGUAUCUUAGUUUGAUUUCACUCCUGGUACCAUGUUUUGUUCAGUCAUUUUAAUAAAAUAACUCUCAGUGCAGUCUUAACAUGUUUUUCUUUAUUCAUCUUAACAUACUAACAAAGGUUAGUUUUUUCUUCUUCUUGAUUGCCACGUAUCUAACACAUAACACUUCUAACACAUAACAGUGCCAUCUAGUGGCUUUGUAGAGUUACAAGCACAAUCACUUGACAUCAUCACAACUAUGUAUGAAGAUUUAAGACUGAGUACAUAGAUUUAUCAUCCAUUCUCCAAACUGCUUGUUCUGUGUAGGGUUGUGGGGAUUCUGAAGCCUAUGAGUAGACUUAAAAACUUAGAAUAACAAAAAAUCUUAUCUACACAGAGAUUUAUAUUCGGUAAUGCAUCUGUGUAUUCUUGAUCAUUGUUGUCAUCUUCUGUAACAGCAGAGACAGAGGGGUUUCUCUCUCUCUCUCAAAUUGUAAAUUGGGACCAUUUUUUGCCAUUGUGUCUGAAGGAAAGAAAGUCCCAAUUGUCUUGAAUUAAUGCUAUAAGGUUUUGUCUAAUAUUCAGUCAAGAAAGAUCACUCUUCUGCCAGCCAAGAGGCAGAUGCAGGGGAAGAGUAAGAGAAGGGAAAGUUGGCAGUUUCGCCCUCAGUAGAAAUCUGUAAAUUCCCCCUCCCCCACUUGAGACCAAGUGAUCAUAAGAAAUUUGCUGAAUUUAUUUAAUAAACUUAGACAUAGCCAAAGCGUGAUUCAAUUUGCCUAAAGCAAAUACAUCAGAUGUUAUUAAAACAAAAACGAAUGGAAAGUGCUUGCUUUUUAAAAAUGUAAUUGAAAGCCUCAAAGGGAGACAACCUCUACAAUACAGUUAUUCUGUCUAGUAGUUACAUAGAAGAGUUUUGCCUUGCACAAAUUAAUAAAGCAUUAUAAGAACUGAAUGUAUAAAACAAUAAUUUAAAAAAAUAAAAGUACAACAUGCAUGCUGUCUGAAAGUUGAACUUUGGGCCAAGGAGCUGGCUUGUACAUACAUUCAGCUUCAAAAGAAGUCUGCAAAAUAUCAGCCUAUGGGAUUCACUCUCCUCUCACACACAAAUCCUUCACCAUGAUCUAUGUCAACGUCAUCGGUCAUGAUGCCACACUCACGAUCUUCAUCAUCCUGAGGCACAACCAGAACAUUUCAUCUUAGUUUAACAAAUGUUCAAAAGCUUUUUCAGCGGUCUAAUUUUGGUAAUUGUUCAGAAAAAUAUUUCACAAAUAUGAAAACAAAAGUUGAAAAUGAAAACUAAAAAUGACAUUUCAAUUGCAUUACCACUGAUGGAACAUCAAUGUCUCCAGAUCCAUCUGAUGAGGCUCUUGAGACCAAAAAUUGCUUUCCAUUGGUUCUGGACAUCAACCAGACCUGCCCAUUUACAC